UACGAAGGGGGCUAGCGUUGUUCGGAUUUACUGGGCGUAAAGCGCACGUAGGCGGCUUGGUCAGUUAGAGGUGAAAUCCCGAAGCUCAACUUCGGAACUGCCUUUAAUACUGCCAGUCUAGAGUCCGGAAGAGGUGAGUGGAACUCCUAGUGUAGAGGUGGAAUUCGUAGAUAUUAGGAAGAACACCAGUGGCGAAGGCGGCUCACUGGUCCGGUACUGACGCUGAGGUGCGAAAGCGUGGGGAGCAAACAGG
rnacentral:rRNA from 1 species